UCUCGGCCGGGUCUACCGAGUGAGGAACAAACUCAAUCUUCGGCACAAGAAGCUCUUUGUGGACAUCUACGGACGAGGAACCACGAGAUGUACCUUUUUUCGAAGUCUUCUUCUUACUUAACAUUUUGUAGAUUUCAAAGGAAAACAAGAAGAAGAAGAUGGAGAGGAGGGGGAAAUUUUUUUUUUUUUUUUUUCAAAGAACUCCUUAUGAAAAUAAGCAAGUGAAAAAUUAUGAAGAAGUUACCUCCCUUCUUAUAAGCAUAAGAAGUUGCUAUUUGCUCGCGGACUUUUGAACAUGAUCUUCGCCCAAAUACGCCUAUCCCGUCUAACUCACCAUACCGCACGCUAGAAUCUCGUCGGAAAUCCAUGAUUCUACUAAGCUGGGGGGCAAACCGUUGGGGUUGAAAACGGUUAUGACAAAGUUAAUGUCCAAAUCUCCGUAAAGAAUCGGCGUGAACAUUUUUACCGAAGAU
rnacentral:lncRNA from 1 species